CCUACGGGGGGCAGCAGUGAGGAAUAUUGGUCAAUGGGCGGGAGCCUGAACCAGCCAAGCCGCGUGAGGGAAGAAGGUACAGCGUAUCGUAAACCUCUUUUGUCAGGGAACAAAGGCGGGGACUAGUCCCCGUAUGAGGGUACCUGAAGAAAAAGCAUCGGCUAACUCCGUGCCAGCAGCCGCGGUAAUACGGAGGAUGCGAGCGUUAUCCGGAUUUAUUGGGUUUAAAGGGUGCGCAGGCGGCCUGUUAAGUCAGCGGUAAAAGCGCGGGGCUCAACCCCGGCGAGCCGUUGAAACUGGCGGGCUGGAGUGAGAGAGAAGUACGCGGAAUGCGCGGUGUAGCGGUGAAAUGCUUAGAUAUCGCGCAGAACCCCGAUUGCGAAGGCAGCAUACCGGCUCCAAACUGACGCUGAGGCACGAAAGCGUGGGUAUCGAACAGGAUUAGAUACCCGAGUAGUC
rnacentral:rRNA from 1 species